rnacentral:rRNA from 1 species
GUGGGAAACUACCCUUUGGUGCGGAAUAACACAGAGAAAUUUGUGCUAAUACCGCAUAAGCUCUUCGGAGGAAAGAUUUAUCGCCAAAGGAUGUGCCCGCGUCCGAUUAGCUAGUUGGUGAGGUAACGGCUCACCAAGGCGACGAUCGGUAGCUGGUCUGAGAGGAUGAUCAGCCACACUGGGACUGAGACACGGCCCAGACUCCUACGGGAGGCAGCAGUGGGGAAUAUUGAAAAGGGGGCGCAAGCCUGAUCC